AUUUCCUUCCAGUUUUCAGACCAAUUCAAUUUCUAAGUUGACUGUAACGUGUAACUGUUGAAUUUUCUACCAAAAUGAAUCCGAAAUUUGGUUUACUCGUUGUUCUCCUUGUUUUGGGAGCUUUUCACUAUUCUUCGGUGGAAGCUCAGGGAACAUUUGUCGACGCGUGUAACGAAGUGUGCAACCGGAGUCCACCAGAACGGAAGGAAUGUUGUCGAGCUCACGGGUACCCUCUGGGCAGAAGGUUUAACUGCAAUGGGGGCAGAAUGAUGUGCUACUGAGCAAGGAAACAAUACAAUUAAAUUAAAUAAAUUAAGGCUGUAUCGACAUUGUCAAAAUUUGAUAAAAAUAAUGCGGUAGUCAGUAAAUAUUUUUGUGAAAAAACAUUCACCAGACAUUUUAAAAAUCAUGGAUAUUUAUUUAGAAUCGAUGAAAAUUCUCUGCUUAAUUAAUUUUAGUAAAAUGACGUAAUUAGUUAAAACACAUCUAUAUUAUGUAUCUGUGGUAUUUAUCUAAAAAAGAAUAAACUCUUUUUGCCCCUCUGGAAAA